CGCGGUAAUUCCAGCUCCAGUAGUUUGCUUUAAAGUUGUUGCGUUUAAAACGCUCGUAGUUGGAUCACGCAGCAGUGCCCAGUAAUCUACUAUUCGACGUAUCACUGAAAACCACUUGUGUGGCCUUUCAUGAGCUGUCAUUAGCAGAUACCAACGCUGAGCACUGUUAGUUGCACGUGAGAUGAGUUGUUGGCCUUUAUUGAGCCGGUAUUCUCGUCUUGCGGAGUGUGCCUUGAAUAAAACAGAGUGCUUAAAGCAGGUCGUUGCCUGAAUGUUAUAGCAUGGAACGAACAAUCGUGUAUAUGUGUGUAUCCUAGAUUGGUGACGAGCCUUAGGCUUGUUGUUGAUCUGGAUGCAUACGGCACCCACCUAAAUAUGGCUGUUGGUUCCAUAUACGGUGAUGAUUAAAAGGAGCGGUUGGGGGCAUCGGUAUUUGGCCGCGAGAGGUGAAAUUCUUAGACCGGCCAAGGACUAACAAAUGCAAAGGCACUUGUCUAGACCGUUUCCAUUAAUCAAGAACGAAAGUGGGAGGUUCGAAGACGAUCAGAUACCGUCCUAGUUCCCACCGUAAACUAUGCCGACCUGGGAUCAGUUUAGAGAUGUUACAAGCUCUAGAUUGGUCCCCCUGGGAAACCUCAAGUUUUUCGGUUACGGGGAGAGUACGGUCGCAAGGCUGAAACUUAAAGGAAUUGACGGAAGGGCACCACCAGGGGUGGAGCCUGCGGCUUAAUUUGACUCAACACGGGAAAACUUACCUGGU
rnacentral:rRNA from 1 species